CGCGCUGGCACAUAGAACGAGGGUUGCGCUCGUUGCGGGACUUAACCCAACAUCUCACGACACGAGCUGACGACAACCAUGCACCACCUGUAUACCGACCUUAAGGACACCAAUCUCUCUGUGUUUUCCGUGUAUGUGAAACCCUGGGAAGGUUCUUCGGGUGGUCCCGAAUUAUCCAACAUGCGCCCCCGCUUGGGCGGGCGCCCGCGCCUCCUUU
rnacentral:rRNA from 1 species